rnacentral:rRNA from 1 species
GUAGGUGGCAAGCGUUGUCCGGAAUUAUUGGGCGUAAAGCGCGCGCAGGUGGUUCUUUAAGUCUGAUGUGAAAGCCCCCGGGCUCAACCGGGGAGGGUCAUUGGAAACUGGGGAACUUGAGUGCAGGAGAGGAAAGUGGAAUUCCACGUGUAGCGGUGAAAUGCGUAGAUAUGUGGAGGAACACCAGUGGCGAAGGCGACUUUCUGGCCUGUAACUGACACUGAGGCGCGAAAGCGUGGGGAGCAAACAGGAUUAGAUACCCUGGUAGUCCACGCCGUAAACGAUGAGUGCUAAGUGUUGGGGGGUUUCCGCCCCUCAGUGCUGCAGCUAACGCAUUAAGCAUUCCGCCUGGGGAGUACGGUCGCAAAGACUG